rnacentral:rRNA from 1 species
CAUUUNGNGGAAGUAAAAGUCGUAACAAGGUCUCCGUAGGUGAACCUGCGGAGGGAUCAUUA